rnacentral:rRNA from 1 species
GGCUACUGCUAUUGGGAUUCGACUAAGCCAUGCGAGUCAAGGUGUCUUCGGACGCCGGCGUACGGCUCAGUAACACGUAGGUAACCUACCCUCAGGACUGAGAUAACCCCGGGAAACUGGGGCUAAUAUUGGAUAGAUAAAAGAUACUGGAAUGUUCUUUUAUCCAAAGCUUUUGCGCCUGAGGAUGGGCCUGCGUCCGAUUAGGUUGUUGGUGGGGUAAUGGCCCACCAAGCCUACGAUCGGUACGGGCAGUGAGAGCUGAAGCCCGGAGUUGGGGACUGAGACAAGGCCCCAGGCCCUACGGGGCGCAGCAGGCGCGAAACCUCUGCAAUGCGGGAAACCGUGACAGGGGGAUCCCAAGUGCUCAUGCAUUGCAUGGGCUGUUCUUUGGUCUAAGUAACCAGAGGAGUAAGGGCUGGGCAAGACCGGUGCCAGCCGCCGCGGUAAUACCGGCAGCUCAAGUGGUAGCCGCGAUUAUUGGGCCUAAAGCGUUCGUAGCCGGAUAAGUAAGUCUUUGGUUAAAUCCUGCGACUUAACCGUGGGAAAUCUAGAGAUACUGCUUGUCUUGAGACCGGGAGAGGUUGGAGGUACUCCCAGGGUAGGGGUGAAAUCCUGUAAUCCUGGGGGGACCACCUGUGGCGAAGGCGUCCAACUGGAACGGGUCUGACGGUGAGGGACGAAACCUAGGGGAGCGAGCCGGAUUAGAUACCCGGGUAGUCCUAGGCGUAAAUGAUGCGAGUUAAGUGUGGGGGCAUCCACGAGAUGGCCCUGUGCUGUAGGGUAGCCGUUAAACUCGCCGCCUGGGGAGUACGGUCGCAAGGCUGAAACUUAA